UCACGGUUUGCACCGGCAGUCUUGUUAGAGUUCCCGACAUUACUCGCUGGCAACUAACAACAGGGGUUGCGCUCGUUAUAGGACUUAACCUGACACCUCACGGCACGAGCUGACGACAACCAUGCAGCACCUUGUAAUGAGUCCGAAGAAGGGCCUGUUUCCAAGCCUGUCCCACUACAUUUAAGCCCUGGUAAGGUUCCUCGCGUAUCAUCGAAUUAAACCACAUGCUCCACCGCUUGUGCGGGCCCCCGUCAAUUCCUUUGAGUUUCAAACUUGCGUUCGUACUCCCCAGGUGGGAUACUUAUCACUUUCGCUUAGCCACUCAGUCCGAAAACCAAACAGCUAGUAUCCAUCGUUUACGGCGUGGACUAC
rnacentral:misc_RNA from 1 species